rnacentral:rRNA from 1 species
GCGGGCAUAGCAAUAUGUCAGCGGCAGACGGGUGAGUAACGCGUGGGAACGUACCUUUUGGUUCGGAACAACUGAGGGAAACUUCAGCUAAUACCGGAUAAGCCCUUACGGGGAAAGAUUUAUCGCCGAAAGAUCGGCCCGCGUCUGAUUAGCUAGUUGGUGAGGUAAUGGCUCACCAAGGCGACGAUCAGUAGCUGGUCUGAGAGGAUGAUCAGCCACAUUGGGACUGAGACACGGCCCAAACUCCUACGGGAGGCAGCAGUGGGGAAUAUUGGACAAUGGGCGCAAGCCUGAUCCAGCCAUGCCGCGUGAGUGAUGAAGGCCCUAGGGUUGUAAAGCUCUUUUGUGCGGGAAGAUAAUGACGGUACCGCAAGAAUAAGCCCCGGCUAACUUCGUGCCAGCAGCCGCGGUAAUACGAAGGGGGCUAGCGUUGCUCGGAAUCACUGGGCGUAAAGGGUGCGUAGGCGGGUCUUUAAGUCAGGGGUGAAAUCCUGGAGCUCAACUC